CCGCUCCGAAUUGUAGUCUAGAAAGGCGCCAUCGGCCGCGCCCGCCGCUCAAAUCCCUUGGAACAGGGUAUCGGAGAAGGUGAGAAUCCUGUACCGUGGCGGUCCGCGGCCGCACGAUGCGCCCUUGCAGAGUCGGGUUGCUUGGGAUUGCAGCUUGAAUUGGGUGGUAAAUUCCAUCUAAAGCUAAAUAUUGCAGCGAGACCGAUAGCGAACAAGUACCGUGAGGGAAAGAUGCAAAGAACUUUGAAAAGAGAGUUAAAGAGUGCUUGAAACCAACAAGGGGAAACCCGGUUGCGCCCGGUGUCGUGUUGCAGACUCAGCCUUUACGGGUGCACUUCUGCGGCACGGGUCAGGCGCCUCUCUCCGGGAGGGAGAAUGGUCCGGUAGGCCUUCGGGGAUCCGGGCUGCUACCUCGCGGGGGGCGCCGCCUGACGCAACGGGCGCCACCGACCCGUCUAGAAACACGGACCAAGGAGUCUGACAUGGACGCGAGUACGCGGGCGUCAAACCUGUGUGCGCAAUGAAAGUGAAGGGCGUGCCCCGCCAACCGACCUUGAUCUGCUGUGAAGGGUUUGAGUGGAGCGUUCCUGUCGGGACCCGAAAGAUGGUGAACUAUGCCUGUAUAGGUUGAAGUCUGCUGAAAGGCAGAUGGAGGGCCGUAGCGAUACUGACGUGCAAAUCGUUCGUCUAAUAUGGGUAUAGGGGCGAAAGACUAAUCGAACCAUCUAGUAGCUGGUUCCCUCCGAAGUUUCCCUCAGGAUAGCUUGAACGCCGACGGUUUUGU
rnacentral:rRNA from 1 species